GGGUUGUGAGGUUAAGCGACUAAGCGUACACGGUGGAUGCCCUGGCAGUCAGAGGCGAUGAAGGACGUGCUAAUCUGCGAUAAGCGUCGGUAAGGUGAUAUGAACCGUUAUAACCGGCGAUUUCCGAAUGGGGAAACCCAGUGUGUUUCGACACACUAUCAUUAACUGAAUCCAUAGGUUAAUGAGGCGAACCGGGGGAACUGAAACAUCUAAGUACCCCGAGGAAAAGAAAUCAACCGAGAUUCCCCCAGUAGCGGCGAGCGAACGGGGAGCAGCCCAGAGCCUGAAUCAGUGUGUGUGUUAGUGGAAGCGUCUGGAAAGGCGCGCGAUACAGGGUGACAGCCCCGUACACAAAAAUGCACAUGCUGUGAGCUCGAUGAGUAGGGCGGGACACGUGGUAUCCUGUCUGAAUAUGGGGGGACCAUCCUCCAAGGCUAAAUACUCCUGACUGACCGAUAGUGAACCAGUACCGUGAGGGAAAGGCGAAAAGAACCCCGGCGAGGGGAGUGAAAAAGAACCUGAAACCGUGUACGUACAAGCAGUGGGAGCCUCUUUAUGGGGUGACUGCGUACCUUUUGUAUAAUGGGUCAGCGACUUAUAUUCUGUAGCAAGGUUAACCGAAUAGGGGAGCCGAAGGGAAACCGAGUCUUAACUGGGCGUUAAGUUGCAGGGUAUAGACCCGAAACCCGGUGAUCUAGCCAUGGGCAGGUUGAAGGUUGGGUAACACUAACUGGAGGACCGAACCGACUAAUGUUGAAAAAUUAGCGGAUGACUUGUGGCUGGGGGUGAAAGGCCAAUCAAACCGGGAGAUAGCUGGUUCUCCCCGAAAGCUAUUUAGGUAGCGCCUCGUGAAUUCAUCUCCGGGGGUAGAGCACUGUUUCGGCAAGGGGGUCAUCCCGACUUACCAACCCGAUGCAAACUGCGAAUACCGGAGAAUGUUAUCACGGGAGACACACGGCGGGUGCUAACGUCCGUCGUGAAGAGGGAAACAACCCAGACCGCCAGCUAAGGUCCCAAAGUCAUGGUUAAGUGGGAAACGAUGUGGGAAGGCCCAGACAGCCAGGAUGUUGGCUUAGAAGCAGCCAUCAUUUAAAGAAAGCGUAAUAGCUCACUGGUCGAGUCGGCCUGCGCGGAAGAUGUAACGGGGCUAAACCAUGCACCGAAGCUGCGGCAGCGACGCUUAUGCGUUGUUGGGUAGGGGAGCGUUCUGUAAGCCUGUGAAGGUGUGCUGUGAGGCAUGCUGGAGGUAUCAGAAGUGCGAAUGCUGACAUAAGUAACGAUAAAGCGGGUGAAAAGCCCGCUCGCCGGAAGACCAAGGGUUCCUGUCCAACGUUAAUCGGGGCAGGGUGAGUCGACCCCUAAGGCGAGGCCGAAAGGCGUAGUCGAUGGGAAACAGGUUAAUAUUCCUGUACUUGGUGUUACUGCGAAGGGGGGACGGAGAAGGCUAUGUUGGCCGGGCGACGGUUGUCCCGGUUUAAGCGUGUAGGCUGGUUUUCCAGGCAAAUCCGGAAAAUCAAGGCUGAGGCGUGAUGACGAGGCACUACGGUGCUGAAGCAACAAAUGCCCUGCUUCCAGGAAAAGCCUCUAAGCAUCAGGUAACAUCAAAUCGUACCCCAAACCGACACAGGUGGUCAGGUAGAGAAUACCAAGGCGCUUGAGAGAACUCGGGUGAAGGAACUAGGCAAAAUGGUGCCGUAACUUCGGGAGAAGGCACGCUGAUAUGUAGGUGAAGUCCCUCGCGGAUGGAGCUGAAAUCAGUCGAAGAUACCAGCUGGCUGCAACUGUUUAUUAAAAACACAGCACUGUGCAAACACGAAAGUGGACGUAUACGGUGUGACGCCUGCCCGGUGCCGGAAGGUUAAUUGAUGGGGUCAGCGCAAGCGAAGCUCUUGAUCGAAGCCCCGGUAAACGGCGGCCGUAACUAUAACGGUCCUAAGGUAGCGAAAUUCCUUGUCGGGUAAGUUCCGACCUGCACGAAUGGCGUAAUGAUGGCCAGGCUGUCUCCACCCGAGACUCAGUGAAAUUGAACUCGCUGUGAAGAUGCAGUGUACCCGCGGCAAGACGGAAAGACCCCGUGAACCUUUACUAUAGCUUGACACUGAACAUUGAGCCUUGAUGUGUAGGAUAGGUGGGAGGCUUUGAAGUGUGGACGCCAGUCUGCAUGGAGCCGACCUUGAAAUACCACCCUUUAAUGUUUGAUGUUCUAACGUUGACCCGUAAUCCGGGUUGCGGACAGUGUCUGGUGGGUAGUUUGACUGGGGCGGUCUCCUCCUAAAGAGUAACGGAGGAGCACGAAGGUUGGCUAAUCCUGGUCGGACAUCAGGAGGUUAGUGCAAUGGCAUAAGCCAGCUUGACUGCGAGCGUGACGGCGCGAGCAGGUGCGAAAGCAGGUCAUAGUGAUCCGGUGGUUCUGAAUGGAAGGGCCAUCGCUCAACGGAUAAAAGGUACUCCGGGGAUAACAGGCUGAUACCGCCCAAGAGUUCAUAUCGACGGCGGUGUUUGGCACCUCGAUGUCGGCUCAUCACAUCCUGGGGCUGAAGUAGGUCCCAAGGGUAUGGCUGUUCGCCAUUUAAAGUGGUACGCGAGCUGGGUUUAGAACGUCGUGAGACAGUUCGGUCCCUAUCUGCCGUGGGCGCUGGAGAACUGAGGGGGGCUGCUCCUAGUACGAGAGGACCGGAGUGGACGCAUCACUGGUGUUCGGGUUGUCAUGCCAAUGGCACUGCCCGGUAGCUAAAUGCGGAAGAGAUAAGUGCUGAAAGCAUCUAAGCACGAAACUUGCCCCGAGAUGAGUUCUCCCUGACCCUUUAAGGGUCCUGAAGGAACGUUGAAGACGACGACGUUGAUAGGCCGGGUGUGUAAGCGCAGCGAUGCGUUGAGCUAACCGGUACUAAUGAACCGUGAGGCUUAACCUUACAACGCCGAAG
rnacentral:rRNA from 1 species